AUGAUGAUGUUACUGACUCUACUGCUGACCAUCCUGGAGCUCCUGGUUCAGGGAUCAUCAGGUCAAGUCACUAUAACCCAGACUCCAGGAUCUCAGUCUGUUGUUCCAGGACAGACUGUCUCUAUUACAUGUGAAGUUAAUCCAAGUACAGGUUACUGCUUCCAAUGGUACCUUCAGAAACAAGGAGAUGCUCCUAAACUCCUUAUAAGAUGUGGAAGCAGCCGUCAGUCUGGAGUCCCUGAUCGUUUCAGUGGAAGUGGUUCUGGUUCUGACUACACUCUGACCAUCAGCGGAGUUCAGGUUGAAGAUACUGGAGUUUACUACUGUCAGAGUCUUCAUAGCAUCAACAGUCAGUACGUGUUCACACAGUGA